GCAUGCUCUGCGCGCAGUAGCUUUCAAUCGCGUCUAGCCCGCGAGCGCUUGCUUCGGCAAGGUCAGCAGACCCGGUGUGAUUCCGGGGCCGACGGUAUAGUCCGGAUGAGAGAGAGCGGGA
rnacentral:misc_RNA from 1 species